UGUAAGAGUAAAAACAUGUGUUAUAUUUUCAUACGCGGUUGCAAAUCUACGCUUUAUUAAAUUCAUAGUUGAUAUUUUGUGAAAAAAAUAAUCAGAACAGUGUAUAAGUAAAUACAAACAAUCAUUUCGGCGCGAUGCCCCCACGUCAGGAUAUUGUGGUUCACCCG